GGGUCGUUAGCUCAGUUGGUAGAGCAGUUGACUUUUAAUAAAUUGGUCACUGGUUCGAAUCCAGUACGACCCACCA
rnacentral:tRNA from 1 species